AGAAUAUUAGUUAAAUUAAUAACAUUUAAAUUGCAUUUAAAAAUUAUAUUUUA
rnacentral:tRNA from 1 species